UACGGAGGGUGCAAGCGUUGCUCGGAAUUAUUGGGGCGUAAAGGGCAGGUAGGUGGUCUCAUUUGUCUGGGGUGAAAGCCUUGAGCUUAACUCAAGAAGUGCCCCGGAAACGGUGAGACUCGAGUGCUGGAGAGGGUCGUGGAAUUCCCGGUGUAGCGGUGAAAUGCGUAGAGAUCGGGAGGAACACCGGUGGCGAAGGCGGCGA
rnacentral:rRNA from 1 species